rnacentral:tRNA from 1 species
GAGGAAUUAGUUAAACAAUAACACUGCCUUGUCAAGACAAAAUUACUAGUUAAACUCUUGUAUUCCUCU